UAAUGCACCCGGUCGCCGUAAAGGAAGCUACAUGAAGCUUACCGGAAGUUGCGUACACUGUAAACAAGCAAAGAGAGAAGUGAGGAGCCGAACAAGAUGGCUGUUUGGACUGAACGGCUUCCUUCAACUUCAGGAAACCUACAGGAACAAGAACUAAACAUAAAGGAAACAGGAAGCGCCAGAGAUGCUUUGGAAACCUGACAUGACACCAGAACUACCAAACAGAACUGCAGUAGGAUCUGGCAAGGACUGACUGAAACAGAGAGGCUUCAGUGUUGGGGAGGAUGAUCACCAGAAACGAGUAGAAACAUGAAUUCAGAACAUUUUCUGAGGAAUCUGCUCAUCAGGCUGAUUCUGUUCUGUAGAGAACUGAAGGUCAUGCUGUCAAAAUGAAACUGAUUCCAGAUUCAUUUCAGGUUUUAUGGACUUUGCCUGUAGUUGUAUUAGUCGGUGUUGGGUUGAGUUGCUCAUUAAAUGUUGAUGUUUCUUCAUGAAGGCGAUCAAGCAGAGUCAGGGACACACUGUGUCUGGACCGAGGGAACUCUGUUAUUUCUGCCUGUCCUAAA